rnacentral:tRNA from 1 species
GGAGGGAUAUCGAAGUGGUCAUAACGAGGCGGUCUUGAAAACCGUUUGGGCGAAAGCCCACAAGGGUUCGAAUCCCUUUCCCUCCGCCA